rnacentral:misc_RNA from 1 species
GAUGAAGAACGUAGCGAAAUGCGAUAAGUAAUGCGAAUUGCAGAAUUCAGUGAGUCAUCGAAUCUUUGAACGCACAUUGCGCCCUGUGGUAUUCCGGGGGGCAUGCCUGUCCGAGCGUCAUUGCUGCCCUCAAGCACGGCUUGUGUGUUGGGCCUCCGUCCUCCUCCCGGGGGACGGGCCCGAAAGGCAGCGGCGGCACCGCGUCCGGUCCUCGAGCGUAUGGGGCUUCGUCACCCGCUCUUGUAGGCCCGGCCGGCGCUUGCCGACACAUCAAUCUUUUUUCCAGGUUGACCUCGGAUCAGGUAGGGAUACCCGCUGAACUUAAGCAUAUCAAUAAGCGGAGGA